rnacentral:rRNA from 1 species
GUGUCAGCAGCCGCGGUAAUACAGAGGGUGCAAGCGUUGUCCGGAAUCACUGGGCGUAAAGGGCGCGUAGGCGGCCUGGUAAGUCGGAGGUGAAACGCUGCGGCUCAACCGCAGCACUGCCUUCGAGACUGCCUGGCUUGAGCACGGUAGAGGCUGGUGGAAUUCCCGGUGUAGCGGUGGAAUGCGUAGAGAUCGGGAAGAACAUCGGUGGCGAAGGCGGCCAGCUGGGCCGUUGCUGACGCUGAGGCGCGACAGCGUGGGGAGCAAACAGGAUUAGAAACCCCUGUAGUCC